rnacentral:sRNA from 1 species
CUCGCCCCACUGCCCCAGAGACCUCCUCUUGUCUCUUUGAUGUUUUGUUUUCUAUUUUAUUUUUCGUUUUUGUGUGUCUGCAUGGUGUUUUUCGGGCAGUGGCUUCUGCCAUCAUCACAUGUUUCUCUGCUGCCCACUGUCCUGAGCUGGGCCGUCGUGGAAGCCCUGCUUCCUGCCGUUUGCGGGACGAGUCCCGCCCUCUUUUUUCCUGUCCCCAUCGGUAGUCUGCGUGCACGUGUUUUCCACAGUAAAACCGUGUUGUGUAACUCUUUCCAGCAAAGUAACAAUCCGCCAUUACAAAGGUCGUCCUCCUUGAUCCAGUUAACGAGUCAGAACUCUUCUCCCAAUCAGCAGAGAACCCCGCAGGUCAUCGGGGUCAUGCAGAGUCAAAACAGCAGCGUGGGCAACCGGGGACCCCGGCCACUGGAGCAGGUCACCUGUUACAAGUGUGGCGAGAAAGGACACUACGCCAACAGAUGCACCAAAGGGCACUUGGCCUUUCUCAGUGGACAGUGACAGCAGCUGGAGCCAGCUCCGAGCAGCCCGGGGGCCCCGCUGUUGGGAGUGUGCAUUUAACUGUUUCAUGCGCUUGUUGGCGCGACUGUGGCUCGAGCUGGCCCGCAGACACGUGGGUUUCAUCACUCUGAGGGGCCACGUCUGUUAGUUUCCUAUCAUUUUGCCGUAGU